rnacentral:rRNA from 1 species
AUUGAACGCUGGCGGCAUGCUUUACACAUGCAAGUCGAACGGCAGCGCGGGCUUCGGCCUGGCGGCGAGUGGCGAACGGGUGAGUAAUGCAUCGGAACGUGCCCAGUAGUGGGGGAUAGCCCGGCGAAAGCCGGAUUAAUACCGCAUACGACCUGAGGGUGAAAGCGGGGGACCGAAAGGCCUCGCGCUCUUGGAGCGGCCGAUGUCGGAUUAGCUAGUUGGUGGGGUAAAGGCUUACCAAGGCGACGAUCCGUAGCUGGUCUGAGAGGACGACCAGCCACACUGGGACUGAGACACGGCCCAGACUCCUAAGGGAGGCAGCAGUGGGGAAUUUUGGACAAUGGGGGCAACCCUGAUCCAGCCAUGCCGCGUGCGGGAAGAAGGCCUUCGGGUUGUAAACCGCUUUUGUUCGGGAAGAAAUCCUCUGGGCUAAUACCCCGGGGGGAUGACGGUACCGGAAGAAUAAGCACCGGCUAACUACGUG